GUCUACGGCCAUACCACCCUGAACACGCCAGAUCUCGUCUGAUCUCGGAAACUAAGCAGGGUGGGUCCUGGUUAGUAGUGGAUGGGAGACAGAGAUCAGAUUGCUAAGUAUCCAGGCAGUGGUGCACC
ensembl:rRNA 5S_rRNA 5S ribosomal RNA